rfam:Triticum aestivum genome assembly, contig: Triticum_aestivum_CS42_TGACv1_scaffold_145889_2BS
UUUAUACUGCCUCCGUCCCAAAAUUCUUGUCUUAAAUUUGUAUAAAUAUGGAUGUAUCUAGUUACAUUUUAGUGUUAGAUACAUCCGUAUCUAAACAAAUGUAAGACAAGAAUUUUGGGAUGGAGGGAAUACUAC